rnacentral:tRNA from 1 species
GGUAUGAGGCUUAAUGGUAGAGUGCUUGCCUAACAUGCAUGAAGCCUUGGGUUCGAUUCCUCAGUACCA